rnacentral:rRNA from 1 species
AGCGAACGCUGGCGGCAGGCCUAACACAUGCAAGUCGAGCGCCCGUAGCAAUACGGGAGCGGCAGACGGGUGAGUAACACGUGGGAACGUACCCUUCGGUUCGGAAUAACCCAGGGAAACUUGGAUUAAUACCGGAUACGUCCGUAAGGAGAAAGAUUUAUCGCCGAAGGAUCGGCCCGCGUCCGAUUAGCUAGUUGGUGGGGUAAUGGCCCACCAAGGCUACGAUCGGUAGCUGGUCUGAGAGGAUGAUCAGCCACACUGGGACUGAGACACGGCCCAGACUCCUACGGGAGGCAGCAGUGGGGAAUAUUGGACAAUGGGCGCAAGCCUGAUCCAGCCAUGCCGCGUGAGUGAUGAAGGCCCUAGGGUUGUAAAGCUCUUUCGGCGGGGAAGAUAAUGACGGUACCCGC